GGAUCCAGACUUUGAUUCUGGCUCAGGAUGAACGCUAGCGGCAGGCCUAAUACAUGCAAGUCGAACGGGAUUGAGAGCUUGCUUUCAUGAGCGUGGCGUACGGGUGCGUAACGCGUAUGCAACCUACCUUCAUCAGGGGGAUAGCCCGAAGAAAUUCGGAUUAACACCGCAUAAAAACACAACCUGGCAUCAGGAAAUGUUCAAAUAUUUAUAGGAUGAAGAUGGGCAUGCGUGUCAUUAGCUAGUUGGUGAGGUAACGGCUCACCAAGGCGACGAUGACUAGGGGAUCUGAGAGGAUGACCCCCCACACUGGUACUGAGACACGGACCAGACUCCUACGGGAGGCAGCAGUAAGGAAUAUUGGUCAAUGGAGGCAACUCUGAACCAGCCAUGCCGCGUGCAGGAAGACAGCCCUAUGGGUCGUAAACUGCUUUUAUACGGGAAUAAACCUUGAUUCGUGAAUCAAGCUGAAUGUACCGUAAGAAUAAGGAUCGGCUAACUCCGUGCCAGCAGCCGCGGUAAUACGGAGGAUCCAAGCGUUAUCCGGAUUUAUUGGGUUUAAAGGGAGCGUAGGCGGCUUGUUAAGUCAGGGGUGAAAGACGGUGGCUCAACCAUCGCAGUGCCUUUGAUACUGACGAGCUUGAAUAUAGUUGAGGUAGGCGGAAUGUGACAAGUAGCGGUGAAAUGCAUAGAUAUGUCACAGAACACCGAUUGCGAAGGCAGCUUACUAAGCUAUUAUUGACGCUGAGGCUCGAAAGCGUGGGGAUCAAACAGGAUUAGAUACCCUGGUAGUCCACGCCCUAAACGAUGAUAACUCGAUGUUGGCGAUAUACAGUCAGCGUCCAAGCGAAAGCGUUAAGUUAUCCACCUGGGGAGUACGCCCGCAAGGGUGAAACUCAAAGGAAUUGACGGGGGCCCGCACAAGCGGAGGAGCAUGUGGUUUAAUUCGAUGAUACGCGAGGAACCUUACCCGGGCUUGAAAGUUAGUGAAUCAUUUAGAGAUAGAUGAGUCCGCAAGGACACGAAACUAGGUGCUGCAUGGCUGUCGUCAGCUCGUGCCGUGAGGUGUUGGGUUAAGUCCCGCAACGAGCGCAACCC
rnacentral:rRNA from 1 species